UGGGGAAUUUUGGACAAUGGGCGAAAGCCUGAUCCAGCAAUGCCGCGUGUGUGAAGAAGGCCUUCGGGUUGUAAAGCACUUUUGUCCGGAAAGAAAUCCUUGGCUCUAAUACAGUCGGGGGAUGACGGUACCGGAAGAAUAAGCACCGGCUAACUACGUGCCAGCAGCCGCGGUAAUACGUAGGGUGCAAGCGUUAAUCGGAAUUACUGGGCGUAAAGCGUGCGCAGGCGGUUUGCUAAGACCGAUGUGAAAUCCCCGGGCUCAACCUGGGAACUGCAUUGGUGACUGGCAGGCUAGAGUAUGGCAGAGGGGGGUAGAAUUCCACGUGUAGCAGUGAAACGCGUAGAGAUGUGGAGGAAUACCGAUGGCGAAGGCAGCCCCCGUGGGCCAAUACUGACGGCUCAUGCACGAAAGCGUGGGGAGCAAACAGGAUUAGAUACCCUGGUAGUCCACGCCCUAAACGAUGUCAACUAGUUGUUGGGGGAUUCAUUUCCUUAGUAACGUAGCUAACGCGUGAAGUUGACCGCCUGGGGAGUACGGUCGCAAGAUUAAAACUUAAAGGAAUUGACGGGGUCAUAGCUGUUUCCU
rnacentral:rRNA from 1 species